GACGAACGCUGGCGGCGUGCCUAAUACAUGCAAGUAGAACGCUGAAGGAAGGAGCUUGCUCUUUCUGGAUGAGUUGCGAACGGGUGAGUAACGCGUAGGUAACCUGCCUGGUAGCGGGGGAUAACUAUUGGAAACGAUAGCUAAUACCGCAUAAAAUUGAUUAUUGCAUGAUAGUCAAUUAAAAGGUGCAACUGCACCACUACCAGAUGGACCUGCGUUGUAUUAGCUAGUUGGUGGGGUAACGGCUCACCAAGGCGACGAUACAUAGCCGACCUGAGAGGGUGGUCGGCCACACUGGGACUGGGACACGGCCCAGACUCCUACGGGAGGCAGCAGUAGGGAAUCUUCGGCAAUGGACGGAAGUCUGACCGAGCAACGCCGCGUGAGUGAAGAAGGUUUUCGGAUCGUAAAGCUCUGUUGUAAGAGAAGAACGAGUGUGAGAGUGGAAAGUUCACACUGUGACGGUAUCUUACCAGAAAGAGACGGCUAACUACGUG
rnacentral:rRNA from 1 species